rfam:Felis catus isolate Cinnamon breed Abyssinian chromosome E2, whole genome shotgun sequence.
ACCUGGGUAACUCAGUCGGUUGAGCGCCUGACCUCGGCUCAGGUCAUGAUCUCACAGGUCGUGGGUUCAAGCCCCACAUCAGGCU